GUGGGGAAUUUUGGACAAUGGGCGCAAGCCUGAUCCAGCAAUGCCGCGUGCAGGAAGAAGGCCUUCGGGUUGUAAACUGCUUUUGUACGGAACGAAACGGUCCGGGUUAAUACCCUGGGCUAAUGACGGUACCGUAAGAAUAAGCACCGGCUAACUACGUGCCAGCAGCCGCGGUAAUACGUAGGGUGCAAGCGUUAAUCGGAAUUACUGGGCGUAAAGCGUGCGCAGGCGGUUUUGUAAGACAGGCGUGAAAUCCCCGGGCUCAACCUGGGAAUUGCGCUUGUGACUGCAAGGCUGGAGUGCGGCAGAGGGGGAUGGAAUUCCGCGUGUAGCAGUGAAAUGCGUAGAUAUGCGGAGUAACACCGAUGGCGAAGGCAAUCCCCUGGGCCUGCACUGACGCUCAUGCACGAAAGCGUGGGGAGCAAACAGGAUUAGAUACCCCGGUAGUCC
rnacentral:rRNA from 1 species